rnacentral:misc_RNA from 1 species
CUUCCCCCUUUUCUAAAAUAAGAUAAGGGCCUAUUUAUAUCUUUUUCUGACAAGUGGUCUUAAAAUGAUGUGUUUGAUGUGUGUUUUCAUGUGGAAAUCUUCUGCCAGCUCAUUAUGAAGACUCUAUAAAACUGCAUAAGUUAUGCAGUCCCUUAUGCAGUUUUCGGCAGGUUUCUGGGCCCUUUGUGUGAAGCUGCAUAAGCAGGGUGCGAGACUGUAUAAGUUAUGCAGUUUUCCGUAAAGUUGCAUAAGCAGGGCAUGAAUCUGCAUAAAUUAUGCGGUAACUUAUGCAGAUUUUGGCAAGUUUGGAAAUUUGCUUCUUCUCCCUGGGCAGAACUGCACAACUUAUGCUGCAAGUUAUGCGCAAU